CGGCAGCUGGCUGGCAGGACGUUCCAGCUUGGAGCCAGCUACACUGAUUCACUGCCUUGACCUGAAGUGUCUGAAGUGACUAAUGAGGCUGAAGAGUAAGAUUUAGCAGUAAUGAAGCUUGCUGAAAACUCCUAAGGAUUAUAAGUACAACCUGGAGUCUUGCACAAUGGGAUCUAGAGGACACAUUAUCCACAGAUGCAGAACUACAAGGAUUUUUGUCUUCUGUCUCCCCACAAACUUAGGCUGGUUACUCCACUUUUCAUCAGCAAGAACAGCUUUUCUAUGAUGAUUGUCCUUCAGCCUUGCUACCCACUGUGCCUGGAAUUGAACCCUAGUGGACUGGACCUAGGUAUAAGCAAAACAGAGAUCAUGGUAGUAAGGAGGUAACAAACAGAAUGCAAAGCAUGGUACAGAACAUAUUUCCUCCAGGAAAAUAAUAUCCUCCAGUUAAUAACAUUGUGUAGAAUCUCCACUGGUAAUUCUUGAAGCCAAGGCAUUGAUCCUUCAUUGGCAAUAAGAAAUCUGUGGGCUUUCACAGUAUUGGGAAAGCUUCCACAACUGGAAAGACAAAGAUCUGUGAUCAACCAGGAUGCAUUAAUGCAAUGUUCUGUAAAUGGGUAGAAAACUUGGAAGCUGCUAUCCCUGCAAAAUCCAGUAACCACUCAAUGUUUUUUUCUUAAAUUUGAGACAAUUCCAAUUCAGCAUAGGAAUCAAAAUAAAAAAUUAGGAAAAUAUUUGCUACUGCUCAUGUGUUCUACUCUCAGCUUAAUCAUUUUGGUGGGUUUUAUUUUUUUUUUUUCCAAUUUUGGAAUAUGUAAUUUCAAUUCUGAACAUGCAGCAUUGCAAAUAAAUAAAUAAAUAAAUAAACACAUUUCAAAACAAGAGUUGUUUUUAAUAGGAUCUAGGGUAUGUUAUUCCCAACAGAAAAAUGAGACAAAAUCUCAAGCAGCAUUUCUGACACAAGGUCUAAGGUGCUUUUCCUUUCAUGUGGACAGAAGUACAGUUUUACUCAACCACAGCUGAUUUGUAAGUGAGCUGCAAAGCCCUCAAAUGGUCUCUGAUUUCAU